AACGAACGCUGGCGGCAUGCCUAACACAUGCAAGUCGAACGAUAACUUCGGGUCUAGUGGCGCACGGGUGCGUAAGGGGGGGGAACCUGCCCGUAGGUUCGGAAUAACUCCCCGAAAGGGGUGCUAAUACCAGAUAAUAUCUCCGACCCAAAGAUUUAUAGACUUUGGGUGGGCGAGCGUUGGCUUAGCUAGUUAGGAGGGUAAAAGCCUACCAAGGCGGGGAUCGAUAGCUGGUCUGAGAGGAUGAUCAGCAACACUGGCAGUGAGACACGGCGCAGACUCUUAGGGAAUGGAGGAGAGCGUAAUCUAGGAAUGCGGGGUAAAGGAUGAUGGAGUACGGCCGCUAGAGUGCUUAAGUACUGAGGGUUGCAAAGCUGUUUUAUCCGCGAUGAUAAUGACGGUACCGGGAGAAUAAGCGCCGGCUAACUCCGUG
rnacentral:rRNA from 1 species